rnacentral:rRNA from 1 species
GUCUGCGGCCACUCCACCCUGCACCGCGCGAUCCCCGCGGAUCUCGGAAGCUCAGCAGGGUCGGGCCUGGUGCGUACUCGGGUGGGAGGCCCCCUGGGAAGACCGGGUGCUGGAGGCG